rnacentral:rRNA from 1 species
CACGUAGGGUGCGAGCGUUGUCCGGAAUUAUUGGGCGUAAAGAGCUCGUAGGCGGUGUGUCGCGUCGGCCGUGAAAACCUGCAGCUUAACUGUGGGCGUGCGGUCGAUACGGGCAUCACUGGAGUCCGGUAGGGGAGUGCGGAAUUCCUGGUGUAGCGGUGAAAUGCGCAGAUAUCAGGAGGAACACCGGUGGCGAAGGCGGCACUCUGGGCCGGUACUGACGCUGAGGAGCGAAAGCGUGGGGAGCGAACAGG